AGGUGAUAGGUUGUUGUUGAUAAAAAUUCGAGUGUUGAUGUAGUUUUUGAGUUUCAAAAAGUAGGUUUGAGAGAUUAGUUGGUAUUUUAUCACGAUUGGAAAGUAUGAGAUAAAUAAUAAGAUUUUGUGAAAUCUAAUAGAAAAGAUCUUCUUGGCUUUUGGCAUUGUAUAAUAUUGAUGCGUUCGGCAUUAUAUAAAAAGAAGAAUCAUAAAGUAUUUUGAUUUGUUAAGCCAUUUGGAAUGAUUGCCAUUCGGGUGAAAGAGUCUGAGAAAUUAAGAAGGACGUCCCGUAUUUCCUACCAUUCAGAAAAAUCAGCCGAUUAAAGUUAAUCAGCGUUGGUGCAAGUGGUCCUAAGUGAUUCUGUUGGAAGUUUGUUCAGUUACGUUGGUGGGAAGAAAAAAACGCUUCUUCUUUGAUUUGUAUUUACGGAACAUUAUAAUUGGUGCAGUACGAAUUUAUUUCCCCGAAGCAACUGAACAAGUUAUUUCAGUUCCUGUUAAAUCUUGAUUAAGACAUGCAUCAGAACGUAACAAAAGAAAUGUGAUUAAAACCAAAAACGUGGAAAAUGUUCCGGAACAAGAUGACCAAGACGAACUUUAUCAGAUUAAAGUAAACAUUUCUGUUGAC
rnacentral:lncRNA from 13 species